AAAAUCAUUAACGUAGUGCAAGAAGAACAUAUUUAUUCGUUUGAAUUUGUUCCCCCAGCAAGAAAAUAUCAUAAAACUUGUUUCGAGACGAGCACAGCUCAAGCUGCCUUCCUCACUAAAACCCAUACCUGAGUGGCCGAAAUCCUUAGGACUCCGCCAAACGCAAAAUCGACUUUUUGUGUUGUUUUCAAAGCGAUGCAUGACCUCAUCUGCCUCUUGCAAAGUUUUAACAUACUUGGGGUACAAGCCACAAGCAAUUGGAGUAGGUUUAUGAACAUAUUCUAUGGAAAUUUCGGGCGUUUGCUCUGGAAUUUCAGUUUGCACAAUCUCAGUGCGUUCUUCUGACUCCGCCAUUUUGGUUUAUGGCAUGCAGUCAGUUAUACGGUUUUUUACCCUAUUCAUAUCUCGCAAAUACCUGUUAAAAAACAAUUGAAAAAUUACAACUUAUAUUUCCUUUUCAUGCUAUACUAUU